UUGUCUAGAUUUCAGAAGAGUUAUGAUGGACCUCUUACGACAUCUGAGAAAGGCUUUCUAAGGAUCAUCCUCGAACUGCAUUGCUCAGGACCCAGGGAAAUAGAACCACAAACUAUUAAGACGCUUUUGAGAGAGCCCUCCGUUUGUGCUUCUUUCCGAGAUGUGCUGCAGGAGGGCUAUUUGGGAAAUCUCAGAGCACUUUGUGGAAAAGUGAAGCCUCUUCUACCCUUCUCAGCAUGGUCCCGGUGCUGCUGGAUACCCAAAACCAGAGUCCUGAGGAAGGAGGCUCAGAGCGGCAACCAAGGUCAUCGCAGUCACCUUCAGCAGCCGCUGGUGCAAGGGGGGAACCGCCUUGGUAAAAAUGGAAAAAAUCAAGUCUGUGGUAGUGUUUGACGGUGAUCUGUCGGAUAAAUAUGAUUGCUCUUACUGUUAGAGGAGAAGGAAUAAUCCAAAGGAGGAUGCAUUAUAGAGCUAGUCCAACAAGAUGAAUUCAGAACGUUUUUCCCUCACCUAGCUAGAGGAAGAACACCUUCCAGGUAAGUCUCUGGCAUUGAUAAACAUUUCAACAUGGUUGACAGAUUUAAUCAAGGAGGAUCCUUCUUAAUGGCAGCUUUCAGAGUGUCAAGUGCACAGCUGGAUUCAGGACAAAAGUUGGACUAAUCAGGAAUCAGCUGGCAGGCCUGCACAGGUAGCCCAAGGCAUGCAGUAAAAUAACAAAAAUUCCACUGUCAUUUCAAAUCAGCCACUGCCCUUGUGAAUUUAGAAAGGAUUGGAUUCUACUUUUUCUGUCAAUGUUU